rnacentral:misc_RNA from 1 species
CUUCAAAAUGCCACCAAUUCCAUUCCAAGAACAAGCCCAUGCAAUUGGGUUGGACUUUCUUGCAACAGAAAUGGAAGGAUUGAGAGACUUAACCUUACCAACGCAGAUUUAAAUGAGGUACGCUCCAUGAGUUUUCCUUCUCUUCUUUUUCCGAUCUUGCUUAUAUUGAUCUUAGCCUUAAUCUGCUUUCUGGUACCAUUCCACUUGGAAUCACUCAGCUUUCCAAACUCAUUUAUCUUGAUUUGUCAUAUAACCUCUUGUCUGGGACCAUCCCUCAAGAGAUUGGCUUCCUUACAAAUCUCGAUACCCUGCACCUUGCUGCAAAUAAGCUAAAUGGCUCAAUUCCUUCAACAAUAGGCCAGUUAGGUUCCCUCACUGAGCUUGCCCUGUAUACCAACAGUCUAGAUGGCCUUAUUCCCCCUUCUAUGGGUAAUUUGACCAAGAUGGUUCGGUUGUUUCUCUAUGAAAAUCAACUUUCUGGUUUGAUUCCACCAGAAAUAGGAAAACUUACUAAUUUGGUUGAAAUUUACAUGGAUAGCAACAGUCUAUCAGGACCCAUUCCUUCCUCCUUUGGGAACUUGACAAACCUAACU